AUGGAAUUAAUUGGUAUU
rnacentral:miRNA from 1 species